rnacentral:rRNA from 1 species
UGUGAAGAAGGCCUUCGGGUUGUAAAAGCACUUUCAGCGGGGAGGAAGGCAAUGCGGUUAAUAACCGUGUUGAUUGACGUUACCCGCAGAAGAAGCACCGGCUAACUCCGUGCCAGCAGCCGCGGUAAUACGGAGGGUGCAAGCGUUAAUCGGAAUUACUGGGCGUAAAGCGCACGCAGGCGGUCUGUCAAGUCGGAUGUGAAAUCCCCGGGCUCAACCUGGGAACUGCAUUCGAAACUGGCAGGCUGGAGUCUUGUAGAGGGGGGUAGAAUUCCAGGU